CCGCUGUGUAUUUCUUGUCAUGAUCGGGAGAUAACGGAAACAUCCGUCGUCAAUUUACUGUACACUACUCUCGGAGAAGAUCAGAAGUCACGUGUCUAAAGACCUUACUUGUGACCAAGACAGCCAUACAGUAAUCAGGCAUAGUGAAAAGCGGCGUAUUCUUGGAUCUGAACACGAGUACUUUCAGUCUUAUUAUGCGAAAAAGGGCCUUCUGCCUGUUUACAACCGUUUGAGACAUGAUGGAUUGAUAGAUGACUGGGGGCCACUAGGGGCAACAUCAUACAGCGACGCCAUUGCUAGGUCAACAGAUUAUUACAGAUUGCAAGCAGAAUCAGGUGAAUUGAUUUAGCUAACAUUUUUAGGCUUGGAAUGAUUGCUUAUGAUACACUAUACCUUUACCUUAAGUAUAAAACUCUUACAUUUAAAGGCUUGGAAUGAUUGCAUAUGAUGCACUAUACCUUUACAUGUUUCAUUUUCUUCCAUGCAUUAAUUUUUAUCCAUGAAAUACCUCUGAAAAGAUUU